GACGAACGCUGGCGGCGUGCUUAACACAUGCAAGUCGAACGAAGUGGCGAACGGGUGAGUAACGCGUAAUCAACCUGCCCUUCAGAGGGGGACAACAGUUGGAAACGACUGCUAAUACCGCAUACUGAAGGAGGGGAUUGCGGCGGAUCAGCUCGUUGGAGGGGUAACGGCCCACCAAGGCGAUGAUCAGUAGCCGGGCUGGGAGGAAGAACGGCAAAAUAGGGACUGGGACACGGCCCAGACUCCUACGGGAGGCCGCAGUGGGGAAUCUUUCGCAAUGGACGAAAGUCUGACGGAGCAACGCCGCGUGAGUGGUGACGGCCUUCGGGUUGUAAAGCUCUGUUAAGCGGGAAGCGGUACCGGAAUAGAAAGCCACGGCUAACUACGUGCCAGCAGCCGCGGUAAUAC
rnacentral:rRNA from 1 species